UGAAGAAAAGGUUGGCAUAGUGUCCAACUUAAUUAGCAAGCUUUAUACUUGUUGUCAAAUGAAGGUCACUAGGGGCUUCUAUUCUAGUUGUGUGCCAUCUGCUUUCUCUUGGACAUUUGGAGUUGACUAACUAAUAAGGUCUUAAACAUAACUAUAGGCUUUUCUACAUUAACAAUGAAAAAACGACCCAAAUUCAAGAAUACUGUGCACUAUCUGCUCUCUCUUAUGAUUUUGAAGUCCGCUUAUUUUCCAUAGAUACUAGGAAAAGCUGAUAUUUAGAAAAGUCAACUCCUACUGGUUAAAGAGAAAGAUGUUGAGGCGUGACGCACUGGUACAAGUCCUACUGAUCUUUGCUUUGUCAAGAGAUAAAUGCUUGCUAAUUGGUCACUGUAAAAAUUGGGUAUAGACAUGGUUGCCUUGAUAGGGUUGUGGUAUAGCUUCUAGAAUAGCGAAAAGUGCUCUCAAAUAAAUGUUUUCUGUUGUGUUUGUUGUAAAACUUGGUCCAGUCAGAACUCUUUUGUUGGAA
rnacentral:lncRNA from 1 species